AUGGCAGAUACCGAAUGUCAGUGAUCUUUAUUCUGUUCGAGGGCCGUUUUAGAGUGCCUACAAGGGACAUCGCGCCGGGGAGCGUUCUCUAUGCCGUCAGAGGAGAGGUGUACAAAGUGGCUGGAGGGACGGAGGUGAGAGGUCAGGAGGAACUUCCCCGGCAGAAGAGAUGUUAAGACACUGAUCUGUAUUCCUGAGGAGAGUGCCCACAGUCCAGAGUUUAUGGACGGAAGUGACGAUUCAGUGUGUAAACAUUAGUUGGGCCACCAUUAUGUUUGAGGCACUGUGUUCGAUGCCACGGGGAAAACAAAGAGGUGAAGAUUUUACCCCCUUGCCUUCAAAGAACUUGUCUGGAAGGAAGCUCGAACGUGACCACAUAAAAAGAUAACAGGAACCACCAUACUGUUUUCCAUAGUGGCUGUGUCAUUUUACAAUCCCGCUAAAAGUGCAUGACGGUUUCAAUUUCUCCAAAUCCUCCUGAACGUUAUUUCGGGCUUUUUUGUUGCCGUUAAAGGAAGAGCAUCUUGAGUGGAGUCAGGAAGAGAGAACAAUGUCUGGGUGUAGAGAGGAGGCAGGCUUUUGUCGGAUCAGGUGACCCAGGCAGAAUGCUUUAAGGAAGGUGAAGCUGACAUGUUGUGCGGACCAGACAGGCAACAGGUGUGGGCCGAGUCUCCAAACCAAGAUCCUGAAGCAAUGUGCCUGGCAUCUGGAGAGCCUGAGGGCCACAGACGCACACGCCCCGCCCCCCUUAGCUAAAGUAAAGCUCUGCAGUUA